CCCAUAUUUCGUAUGGACACAUUGCAGACGGAUGCAGUGAUAGGACACUGAUAACAGUGAUAGGACACUGAUACUUUGCCAAAACGACAGAGCAGCGUCUGGCACAUCCAUCCAUCCGUUUUCGAUCCAGUGAUCCCCUUAUUCAACUAUUCCCGGAGUAUAAGGACCAAGCCCAGCCACAAAGAGCGAAAAACUGGUCGCGGGGCGCUGGAGCCUAUCCCAGCUGAAAGGCGAACUACACCCUGAACUGGUCGCCACUCAGCUGCAGGGCACAUAUAGACAUGGACAACCAUUCGCGCCGUCACUGAGUGGGAACUGAACCCACGCUGCCCGCACCAAAGCCAGGCAAGUGUACCACUACACCAUCAGUGGCAACAUACAGUAAGGAUUAUGGAGGCCACUGUGCUCUUAGGAACCUUACGUGUAGCAGAACUUUCUUUUGUAACCUUGGCCAGAUUUGUGCCUUGUCACAAUUCUGUCUCUGAUCUCUUCAGGCAGUUCCUUUGACCUCAUGAUUCUCAUUUGCUCUGACAUGCACUGUGAGCUGUAAGGUGUGUGGCUUUCCUAAUCAAGUCCAAUCAGUAUAAUCAAACACAGCUGGACUCCAUUGAAGGCGUAGAACCAUCUCAAGGAUGAUCAGAAGAAAUGGACAGCACCUGAGUUAAAUAUGAGUGUCACAGCAAACGGUCUGAAUACUUAUGGCUGUGUGAUAUUUCACUUUUUCUUUUUUUAAUAAAUGUGCAAAAAUGUCAACAAUUCCGUUUUUUUCUGGCAAUAUGGGUUGCUGUGUGUAAAACCCGAAUUUCAAUAAAGUUGGGACCUUCUGUUAAACACAAAUAAAAACAGAAUACAAUGAUUUGCAAAUCAUGUUCAACUUAUAUUGAAU